rnacentral:rRNA from 1 species
GGAUUCCCCUAGUAACGGCGAGUGAACCGGGAAGAGCUCAAAUUUGUAAUCUGGCGCGCUCCGUGUGUCCGAGUUGUAAUCUACAGAAGCGUUUUCCGUGCCGGACCGUGUCCAAGUCCCUUGGAACAGGGUAUCAAAGAGGGUGACAAUCCCGUGCUUGACACGACGACCGGUGCUAUGUGAUACGUUUUCUACGAGUCGAGUUGUUUGGGAAUGCAGCUCAAAAUGGGUGGUAAAUUCCAUCUAAAGGCUAAAUAUUGGCGAGAGACCGAUAGCGAACAAGUACCGUGAGGGAAAGAUGAAAAGCACUUUGGAAAGAGAGUUAAACAGUACGUGAAAUUGUUGAAAGGGAAACGAUUGAAGUCAGUCGUGUCGGUCGGGUUCAGCCGGGUCUCCCGGUGUAUUCCCGGCCGACGGGUCAACAUCAGUUCUGGCCGGCGGACAAGGGCUGGGGGAAGGUAGCACCUCCGGGUGUGUUAUAGCCCCCUGUCGCAUACGUCGGCCUGGACUGAGGAUCGCAGCUCGCCUUUAUGGCAGGGGUUCGCCCACUUCCGAGCUUAGGAUGUUGACGUAAUGGCUUUAAACGA